rnacentral:rRNA from 1 species
ACUCAAAGGAAUUGACGGGGGCCCGCACAAGCGGUGGAGCAUGUUGUUUAAUACGUCACUAACCGUAGAACCUUACCAGGGUUUGACAUGUGCCGACAUUCCAUGAAAGUGGACUUCCCCGCAAGGGGACGGCAACACAGGUGUUGCAUGGCUGUCGUCAGCUCGUGUCGUGAGAUGUUGGGUUAAGUCCCGCAACGAGCGCAACCCUCAUCCCAUGUUGCCAGCGGGUAAAGCCGGGAACUCUUGGGAAACUGCCUGGGUAACCAGGAGGAAGGUGAGGAUGACGUCAAGUCAGCAUGGCCCUUACACCCUGGGCUACAAACAUGCUACAAUGGACGGUAGACAAAGGGAGCCGAGGCCGCAAGGCGGGGGCAAUCUCACAAAUCCGUUCUCAGUUCGGAUCGCAGGCUGCAACUCGCCUGCGUGAAGCCGGAAUCGCUAGUAACCGCAGGUCAGCCAAACUGCGGUGAAUACGUUCCCGGGCCUUGUACACACCGCCCGU